AGGACGAACGCUGGCGGCGUGCCUAACACAUGCAAGUCGAACGAGGUCCAUCCUUCGGGAGAAGACCUAGUGGCGAACGGGUGAGUAACACGUGAAGAACCUGCCCCGAAGACCGGGAUAACCCUCCGAAAGGAGAGCUAAUACCGGAUACCCCCACCGAACCGCAUGGUUUGGUGAGGAAAUGGAUUCCGCUUCGGGAGGGCUUCGCGGCCUAUCAGCUAGUUGGUGGGGUAACGGCCCACCAAGGCAUCGACGGGUAGCUGGUCUGAGAGGACGAUCAGCCACACUGGGACUGAGACACGGCCCAGACUCCUACGGGAGGCAGCAGUGGGGAAUCUUGCGCAAUGGGCGAAAGCCUGACGCAGCAACGCCGCGUGGGGAUGAAGGCUCUCGGGUUGUAAACCCCUUUCAGCAGGGACGAAUCAAGACGGUACCUGCAGAAGAAGCCCCGGCUAACUACGUG
rnacentral:rRNA from 1 species